AUUGAACGCUAGCGGGAUGCUUUACACAUGCAAGUCGAACGAGUGGCGGACGGGUGAGUAAUAUAUCGGAACGUGCUCAGUAGCCGGGGAUAACUACUCGAAAGAGUGGCUAAUACCGCAUACCAUUGGAGCGGCCGAUAUCGGAGUGGCUAGUUGGUGGGGUAAAGGCUCACCAAGGCAACGAUCCGUAGCUGGUUUGAGAGGACGACCAGCCGCCCUGGGACUGAGACACGGCCCUGACUCCUGCGGGGGGCGGCGGUGGGGAAUUUUGGGCAAUGGGGGAAACCCUGAUCCAGCCAGCGGGCGUGUAUUGGAAGGCCUGCGGGGUGUAAACCACUUUCGGCGGGGAAGCGGUAUCUGCAGAAUAAGCGCCGGCGAACUACGUGCCAGCAGCCGCGGUAAUAC
rnacentral:rRNA from 1 species